GACGAACGCUGGCGGCGUGCCUAAUACAUGCAAGUUGAGCGCUGAAGGUUGGUACUUGUACCCACUGGAUGAGCAGCGAACGGGUGAGUAACGCGUGGGGAAUCUGCCUUUGAGCGGGGGACAACAUUUGGAAACGAAUGCUAAUACCGCAUAAAAACUUUAAACACAAGUUUUAAGUUUGAAAGAUGCAAUUGCAUCACUCAAAGAUGAUCCCGCGUUGUAUUAGCUAGUUGGUGAGGUAAAGGCUCACCAAGGCGAUGAUACAUAGCCGACCUGAGAGGGUGAUCGGCCACAUUGGGACUGAGACACGGCCCAAACUCCUACGGGAGGCAGCAGUAGGGAAUCUUCGGCAAUGGACGAAAGUCUGACCGGGCAACGCCGCGUGAGUGAAGAAGGUUUUCGGAUCGUAAAACUCUGUUGGUAGAGAAGAACGUUGGUGAGAGCGGAAAGCUCAUCAAGUGACGGUAACUACCCAGAAAGGGACGGCUAACUACGUG
rnacentral:rRNA from 1 species